CGAUCCUUUCAUAGAAGUAGAGGUACGCUCUGUGAAAUGGGAAGAAGAGGCGGCUGCGGUGGAUGCGCAGGAGCAUAUCAUCGUAGUUUUCCUCUUUGAACGCUCCGGUGCAGUAGGAACAAUGGAUAUUGGCUUGACGCGCGAAGCAGUGAGGGUUCGUAAUGGGAAGGUUCUUCAUAAUUUCGGUCGCCUUUCGAUAUUUUUCCAUAAAAACAGUGUCGGUGAUUUUGUGUACAGGACGGCGGACGCGGAUUUGGGAUUCGUUGAACACUGGGAAUUCGAAGUCUUUGGCAGUAGCCAGUAACUCUUCCUCCGUGUAAGAUGGAAUUCCGGAGCAACAGUUCACGGGCUGGUAGUCGUCGGAGAAGGACGCGAAACAUUGAGUGACGUUCGGGCCAAUGAAAAUCGGGUGAGGUGGAUCAACCUGAACUUGAGGAGUGGAUGAGGUUGGAGGAAGAGGGAACACAAAGUCUAGGACAUAUUGAGCUUGCUUGUCAAGAAAGUCCGGCAAUG
rnacentral:lncRNA from 1 species